rnacentral:lncRNA from 1 species
GCUGUGGUUUUUUCCUUUUUUUGAAUUUCUGUUUUAUUUUCUUUUAAUCCAUUUACUUUCAAAAAUUCAUAACUUCUUUAUUUGGAAUCCCAAAAAUAUGGGACCAAUUGCAAAGUUUUUCUCUUAAAUUCUAGUUUCAUAAAAUGAUUUUUAAUUAUUUUUGUGAUUCCGUUUAAUAUUUUUUAUGAAUUAUUUCAUUUCUGAUUGUUUUUA